UGGGUAGUUUAUCUGGGGCGGAUGCCUCCUCAGGAGUAACAGAGGUGUGCGAAGGUAGGCUCAAGCGUCUAUUCUGCUCGAUCGUGAGCGUAAUGGUAUAAUUAAGCCUGUCUGACUGUGAGACCGACUGGUCGAACUGAGACGAAAGUCGGCCAUAGUGAUCCGAGAGUCUCGUGUGGAAGGGCUCUCGCUAACU
rnacentral:ncRNA from 1 species